GCUCAGAUUGAACGCUGGCGGCAGGCNUAACACAUGCAAGUCGAACGGUAACAGGAAUCAGCUUGCUGUUUCGCUGACGAGUGGCGGACGGGUGAGUAAUGUCUGGGAAACUGCCUGAUGGAGGGGGAUAACUACUGGAAACGGUAGCUAAUACCGCAUAACGUCGCAAGACCAAAGAGGGGGACCUUCGGGCCUCUUGCCAUCGGAUGUGCCCAGAUGGGAUUAGCUAGUAGGUGGGGUAACGGCUCACCUAGGCGACGAUCCCUAGCUGGUUUGAGAGGAUGACCAGCCACACUGGAACUGAGACACGGUCCAGACUCCUACGGGAGGCAGCAGUGGGGAAUAUUGCACAAUGGGCGCAAGCCUGAUGCAGCCAUGCCGCGUGUAUGAAGAAGGCCUUCGGGUUGUAAAGUACUUUCAGCGGGGAGGAAGGGAGUAAAGUUAAUACC
rnacentral:rRNA from 1 species